UCUGAUCGUCGCCCGCCCGUCCGCCCACCACGGAGCCCCGCCCGGGUCUCUCUCGCCCCGGGUGCGGAGCAACGCGCGGGCGCCUGGUGGAGUCCUGGAGAACCCGGGGCAGCCGCGGGUCCCCUCACGUCUCCACAUCGCAGCCCCGCCGCCUGGGAGGCGGGGAGGGGGGAGAUCGAGGCCGCGCCCCAAGCUGGUUCCCUCCUGGGUCCCAGUCAGCAGCCACAUGGAGGCGGCGUGGUCUGAGACCGCUGAGCUGCGUCCGUCCCUCCUCCCGGGUAGUCAGCGCCGCCAAGCUCACUCAGCAGAGAUGGAAACACGGGAGGCAUUUGAGAGUCAAGGAGGGCGCUCCCCGCUCCCGCCGCCCCCUUCAACUUCUCCUUCCACGCCCCGAGGGCCGGGCCAUCCCUCUCGAGUCCCAGCCGGCUGACCCGCUCGGCCUCUCUCAGAAGGAAGAGAACAUUUGGCUGAAGCCGUUUUUGAAUCCUGCUGGCUUCGAGGGGCUGGAUGGCGAUGGGAAAGCUGCGAAAUACCCAAGCCAAAUGACCGGAGCUCCGAGGGGACCCCCGAGUCCCCGACGGCACCCACGGUCUGGGCGGAAUGCCCUGAAUUUACGCGCAACAGCCUCGCCCUCCGCGGCCGGCCGUCCCCCAGGACGCCCGCGAAGUCUCCUCUGGCCCAGCCCCUCGUCCGGGGAUCCGACCUCCCGCCUCGGUGCCAGCGGCAGGGACCCCCUCUUACAGCCCCUUUGCCUCUGCACGACCCAGAGCCCCCCUUCGUGGCCCUGCUCCCGCCUUUGCUACCGGGAGAGACGCUCGCGGAUGCUCGGGAACAAGGGAGAACGCGCCUAGAAAGUCAAGGAACCGUCUGCGCGACAGCCCGACUGCCAGCGCACGCCGGGGGCAGAGGAGGGCGCGCGGCCCGCGGGGGUGGGGCGGUCACGUGACGCGCGACUCCGCCCCCCACGCCGGAGGGGCCGCGGGGAUGGCGCCAUUUUGGCCAUUCCGAGAGUGAUUGCCACGGCUGGAGCGUGGGCAGCGCGGAGGAUCGUCCUUUGGCUGCGGUGGACGCGUUCAAGGCGCUAACCGGGCUUCGCUUUAUUUACUCCUGUGGUUACGGCUCCCUGUAGCGUCAGCAGAGGGGCUGCGUGAGAGGCCCAUGAUUACACACUACCGCUGCCACCUGGGCAAGAAGCC
rnacentral:lncRNA from 1 species